rnacentral:lncRNA from 1 species
UCCUCAGCUGCUGGCAAGAGGCAGUGAGUGUAUCCAUCCUUCCAUCUAUCCAUCCAUCCAUCCAUCCAUCCAUCCAUCCAUCCACCCUCAUGAUUCUCUAGCCUGACCUUCUGUGGGUCAGAUCUCCAGACUGUGGGGAUGCGGGAGAAGAUGAAUAGAAAAGGUGUGUUUUUCGCACUCAGAGGAUGAAAGAGUGCCCAGGCCGGAAAGGAGUGCAAAAGUCACCCAGUCCCCACACCACUGGGUGUUGCAUCCUAGGACGGUUUCUGUAGUAUUAGGUAUCACUGUCCACACGCCUCGUGGGGCAGUUGGUCCUUGUGGCCUCCCCAUGAUCACUGUCAUCCAGUUCGGCCCUGUCUUCCCCGACCUCUUCUCUCUCUCUCUCUUUCUUUCUUUCCCUCUCUCUCUCUCUCAGCUCCCUGGAGUUCCAUUCUUGGCCUCUUUGCACCUGCGCACAGUCCCUGGUGGUGCUGCACCCUCACAAGGGCUCCACGCCUAUUUCUAGCUCCUGCCUUCUCUGCAGAGUUCCAGGCCUGUGUUUGGCUCUAUCUACUUGGAAGACUCACAGGUUCUUCAAAACCAACCAACGUGAAGCCAGUUUGUCCUGACUUUUACCCCAAACCUGAUGACUGCUUCAUCCCCUGUCUUGAGAAGUCUCCACUGCCCACCCAUUGUCUAAACCAGCAUUAAAGUGGAGAUGACAGAGUCCCUCCUGGAGAGCCGGUCUAGCCAUUCAGUGAGUCAGCAGCACAGCUCCUCCAGCACGCAGAGAACAGCGGUCCAUGGAGGGAGGGCGUGAGCCUGGGGUUUUACUGAGGAAGGAUAGUGGGUUUUUCAGUCCCUGAAGCUGCUGCUCUGCCCACUCAGGAAGGUGAGGAAGGCAGACGACAGCGUACAUCCAGCCUCUGCUCUGCCAGGGUCGUUGAUGCCCUUUGGAAUGGAGAGCUGUGAAGGGGAAUGCCUAGGCCUCACAGAGGAGGCUCGUGACCCGGACAGGUGUGGGACUAGGGGCCAUGUCUGUAGCUCCCCUGCCACGGAGCAGAAUCUGCCUCUCCAUAAGCGUUAAGCUCUGGGGACUGUGACAUCCACGCUGGGCCUGGCUCCUGCCUUCCGCCUCCUGCCCAGCCCCUGCCAGCAGCACAUGGUGGAGACCGGUUGCCCAAAGCUCUUGUUCUCAGAUGUGGGCAGAACGGGAAUCUGCCAUGUGCCCGUGGAUUAAAAAAAAGAAACCCAGGCUGCUUUUCUGUCUGUUAGAAGGAGCCUGCACUUCAAGAUAGUGGGGAUGUAUAUUUUAAAAAAUUUCACGCUCAUGGGCCAAAGAUUUUCCCGGGGCUGUGUGCUGAUUUGCAGCCUAUCAUGUGUGGCUUUGGGACACUGGGGAAGGUGUGGAGCAGUUUAAGUGACAAACGGGUUGGAAAAGCAAAGGACACCAGGUGAGGAUGAUGGAAUUUACAUCCUGUUGCUUCCCUGAUAGUUCCUGCCAAUAUGGGAUCCCACUACUAUCUUUCUGCCCUAAAAAUAUGUGUAUAUUGAGAUAGAAACUGUUGUAAUGGCUGCAUGCAUUCAGUAGAGGAAAGGAGAGAAGAAAGAAGGAACAGAUUUAGUCCUGCCCAGAAUCUGCACUUCCACGGAGGACGCCAGGAUAUCACGGGAGAGACUGCAGCUCUGAUCAAAUGGGGCGAGCUCUUGGCAGGAGCCAGCAUGUUCCUGUGUUCCAUUUGGGAGGACAGUUUACUUUAAUGAUGUACUUUGAAAUCAGGUGGACGUCUGUAACUCCUGGACCUUUCGCAGCCUUUCCAGCCACGGUCAUCUCUGUGGAGUCAGGGGCAGGGACUUUGGGAUCAGCUUCUGCCCUUGUGAAAACAGCAGAGCAGCCUGAGAGCCAGGAAGGACCUCACCUGAGUAUCAGAUCACCUCAUCAGGCUGAAUUGUGUGGAUCUAGGGAUUUUAAAGAGGUGAUUAAGGUAAAAUGAGGUUAUUAGGGUGGCCCUUGACCCAGUGUGACUGGUAUCCUCAUAAGAGGAGAUUAGGACACAGCCACACAGAGGGACGACCACCUGAGGAUCCCUGAGAAGAUGGCAUCUGGAAGGUGAGGAGAGAGGCCUCAGAAGGAAUCAACUCUGCUGAUACUUGAUGCCAACUUCCAGCCUCUGAAACUGCGAGCAAGGUGGUUUGUUAUUCAGCAAUGGAUAAUUAGAGCACUGACUCACCUUGAUGGGCCUCAUCAUCAUUCAUCCAGAAAUCUUUUAUUGAGAAAAAUAAUAUUUGCCAUGUUGUGCAAGGAGUUGGGGUUGCAAAGCUGGGUGCUGUGAUCUAUAACACAAGGCAGCAGGAUUGUCUGACCUCCGAGAGCCAUGUGCCCUGGGAUCAUCUGGCCACAGUUAUCUCACAGAAUUCCUAAUGCACAGUCUGUGUGGGAGGUGAUGCCGGAGUCCCCCCUCCCUCUGGGCUCCUCCCCGUGCUCUGCUCACAUCACUGGGGGGUUGGCGGCAGCCUGCUGAGUCCUUUCGACCCUCAGCCCGCUCUCCAGCACUCAGACUGGCCGAAACCUGUGCCGCUGGCUCCACCCUCAGGUCUCCCCACUCCUCUCAUUAGCCACCGGCCUUCUCAGCCUUCUCUUAUUCUUGUGACUCUUGCCUGACCCUGCCUCAGCUCUGUGUCCUCCCAGACUGCUGACUGUGAGGCUUUGCCCAGCGGAUUUUCCAUCGCCAAAUUAGAGCUUUUCUUUCCUCGCCUGACUGCUCCCUGUCACUGUCUUCUGUAUCUUCCUGUUCCUGAUUUUGGCUGGCUAUCAAGAGAAGAAGAUCUACAAUCAUCCUAUCUCUCAUGGCACCUUACCAUGUGCAACUCCCUCGUAUCUAAUACCUCACUUCACCUUUUCUGUUCUUCUAUUUAUGAGCUACGUGAUGUCAGACAAGGCACUUAACUACUCUGGGCUUUGGCUCCCUUAUUUAACGAUAGGUAUCAUAAUAAUACCUGUCCUGUCCAAUUUA